AAUAAGUACAGUUUUGCACUACUCAUAUCUAACAUUUGAUCGUCCGUCUUAUUUGAAAAAUAUUUAUGAUUAGUAUUUUUAUUGUUAUUAGAUGAUAAAACAUAAAUAGUAUUUUAUCUGUGACUUUUUUUUUAAUUUUUUCAUAUUUUUUCGAAUAAGAGGAUGGUCAAACGUUGGAUACGGAAAUCCAUAAUUGCACUUACU
rfam:Oryza punctata chromosome 8, whole genome shotgun sequence.